rnacentral:rRNA from 1 species
GACGUAGGGCGCGAGCGUUGUCCGGAUUUAUUGGGCGUAAAGAGCUCGUAGGCGGCUUGUUGCGUCGACUGUGAAAACCCGCGGCUUAACCGCGGGCCUUGCAGUUGAUACGGGCAGGCUAGAGUUCGGUAGGGGAGACUGGAAUUCCUGGUGUAGCGGUGAAAUGCGCAGAUAUCAGGAGGAACACCGGUGGCGAAGGCGGGUCUCUGGGCCGAUACUGACGCUGAGGAGCGAAAGCGUGGGGAGCGAACAGG